GACGUAGGUGGCGAACGUUAUCCGGAAUUAUUGGGCGUAAAGGGCGCGUAGGCGGUGCUGUAAGUCUGUGGUGAAAUCUCUGGGCUCAACUCAGAGUCUGCCAUAGAAACUGCAGUGCUGGAGUUCGGGAGAGGUGAGUGGAACUGCGAGUGUAGAGGUGAAAUUCGUAGAUAUUCGCAAGAACACCAGUGGCGAAGGCGGCUCACUGGCCCGAUACUGACGCUGAGGCACGAAAGCGUGGGGAGCAAACAGG
rnacentral:rRNA from 1 species